AGCUUUAUAUCGUUCUUGUUUUGUGCUCCAACAAUUACAGACAGGCCAAAAUCCGAAAGCUGAACCCACAACACAAAAGGAGAAGAAUUUCAGGUUUGCAGUGCUCAUGCAGAUAUUCUAAUCCUCUGCUCAACAGUUUUCACAUUGUCAGAAACACUCACAAGCAGGGAAGCCCAAAACAAUGAGAAAUUAUCAGCCACUCCCAAUUUCCUCGUACACAAUAAGCCUUGAUUCUCCAUGAAUGGUGUAACCCAGAAGGCGGAUGAUGUUCGAGUGCUGAAUUUUGCUCAAUAGAUCAACUUCAUUCUGCCAAAUUUCAAGGUAUGGAGUUCAGUUUUCUUGUUGAUUGCUAGAGAAUAUAAGGAAUCAAAGAAACAGAACCUCAAAUUCUUUCUCUGCGUCCUUGUCGUUACAUUCUAGUUUCUUCACAGCAACAAAAAGGUUUUGUUCUAAACGAGCCUUGUAAACCCUUCCAAAUCCACCCUCCCCUAGAAUGUUACUUUCCUGGAAAACGUUGGUGGCUUUUUCCAGCACCUCGUAAUCAAUGAGUGGAACAGAUACUUUAUUGUGACCCACCAUUUUGUUUGAGCUGAAUUUUCGCAAAAUUGGAGCUAACCCAACCAGACCCUUCUCGGCAUCUUCAAAUCCAAAAAAAGAAACCCACCCGAUGUUAUAUUGGAGGAUAUGAUCGAUUCUAAUCGGAUAAAAACGGCAGAAGUGAGUUACCUGAGCUCUGAACGUUUUGUUUAUGGAAGUUGGGGGAGUUUCUUCUGUAAUAAACCCACAAAAACAGUGAAACCACUAAGACUGCACCGAAUGAAGCACAAACGAUAAGGACAAUCGGCAUUUUCUUGUGGGCUUCGCUUCUAAGGCUCUCCAUUUCCAUCGGAAUUCCUGGAAACACAAAACAGAGGAAAUUUGAAAACCAGCGCAGUGGAGAGGAAGAGAUCUGUUAAGUACCCACCUGGAGGGGAAGCAGCCAUGGAAUCCAAGAAUGGAGAAAUGGGAGAAGGAAACGGAGAGGCAGCCACCAAAAUAGAGAGGAAUGGAAGAGGAAGGGAAGGAAGAAGAAGAAGGGCGAGAGGAAGGAGAUGAAGAAGCUUCAUUGACGCAACUUUAUUUUUGUCACGGAUUACAUGAAAGGUACGAAGAAAGAGAGAGAUGGGUGUCGUCUGGUUCUGUGAAAACAAGAAAGAGGUCGUGAUUCUGGCUUCUUUUGGGAUUGGAAA